UAACAACUACAAUAUUUUCCCAUCUCUGUCUACCUGUGGCUACAAAAGUCCAAAAGCUUCUUCCUGCCUUCAACGAUUUCAUCAAUGAAAUCAUCAAGUUGGCAAACAAUAUUCUCAGCUCCAGAUCUCAGUACCCCAAAACAAGCUCUCAAAUUCUCAACCCUUUCUCUAAUUCCAAUCUCUGUUUCCCAUUCCACCACUCCUUGCGACCCCAUCCCCACCCUCCUCUCCAAUUCCGCCCUCAGUUCCUCCAUCGCCAUCUUCGACCUCCUAAACUCGUACAGCAAAAUCCCAGGCCUUCCGUUCAUCUGGUUGAUUUCUCCGGCGACUCUCUCCUGCAAUCUCGCCGUCGAUAUCAUAAAAGCUGAACCGAAAAACAGACACCCUUCAUACCCUCCUCUUACAAAAUUCGAUUCCGGCCAACAGUAAACCAGCCCGUAGAGUAAGAUCAUUAGGAGGAGGGAGCUCACAUUUCUCAUUGCGUACAGAACUCCCCUGAAUCCAUUGAAUCCGUUCAGCUUUGAUUCGAUCGAUACUUUCUCAUCGAACCGCAGAGAUAGCGGUUGAAUUCUUGCUUCCAUCAGUGCCCGAUUCUCCUCUUCCAAUCCCACCGCUUCCCUUCGACACCCUGAUAUUGCCCUAAUCACCUGGCGAGAAAGUUGCGAACUCAGAUGGCGAUGAGUUUCGAGAGAGGAAGUGAUAUUGAACCCAGCAGAGUAGAAAUUUUCGAUUCCAGAAAUGCCUGAUUUGAGGACAUGACAGGCGUCCCACAGCUUAG
rnacentral:misc_RNA from 1 species